AGAGUUUGAUUAUGGCUCAGGAUGAACGCUAGCUACAGGCUUAACACAUGCAAGUCGAGGGGCAGCAUUGGAGUAGCAAUACUCAGAUGGCGACCGGCGCACGGGUGAGUAACACGUAUCCAACCUGCCGCUUACUCGGGGAUAGCCUUUCGAAAGAAAGAUUAAUACCCGAUGGUAUAAAGAGUUCGCAUGUUCUCUUUAUUAAAGAAUUUCGGUAAGCGAUGGGGAUGCGUUCCAUUAGAUAGUUGGCGGGGUAACGGCCCACCAAGUCUACGAUGGAUAGGGGUUCUGAGAGGAAGGUCCCCCACAUUGGAACUGAGACACGGUCCAAACUCCUACGGGAGGCAGCAGUGAGGAAUAUUGGUCAAUGGACGAGAGUCUGAACCAGCCAAGUAAGCGUGGAGGAUGACUGCCCUAUGGGUUGUAAACUUCUUUUAUAAGGGAAUAAAGUGAGGGACGUGUCCCUUUUUGUAUGUACCUUAUGAAUAAGGAUCGGCUAACUCCGUGCCAGCCGCCGC
rnacentral:rRNA from 1 species